rnacentral:snRNA from 11 species
GGGAGCAGGCCAAGCUCAACCAACGCAUUCAUUUCCUGCCUUUUACCGGAUGUGACCGUGAGUUGGCCUACAAUGCUCCCAUUCUAAUCUUUGGAAACCUCUGGACACCCAGAUU